AUAGAUUGUAACUAAUAAGUCAUUCUCUUUUUGUGAAUAUUGAAAUAAAAUGUUGACAUGUUCAGAACAUUUCUAUCAUUUUUUCUAGGUAAAGGAUUUACAAAAACUGGCCUGUUCCUGGAAACAAUCCUGGCUUCAGCCAAUCAGGUUUUAGCAGGGAGUUGCAGACUCUCUUCCCUGGGUAUCAGAAGAAGCUCCUACUUUCCUGUGGUUUUUGUCCAUUUAACCUGUGGAUUUGGGGUAGACACAGGCUGGAAACUACUGCUCUGGAAAAUGUCUCCAGUCUGUCUACUAUCUCAAGAGUCUGAAAGACAUGAAGUACUGUAUAAGAACAUUCAAAGAUGCUGAGAUGACCUGUGCUGUGAAAGCUGUUAUUAUUCUUCAUAAAUUGUGGUAUUUUUUUCUUUUUAUUAGUAGAAAUUCUGUGCAUUUAAAAACUGAUUUAGAGUAGUCAGA
rnacentral:lncRNA from 1 species